rnacentral:lncRNA from 1 species
UAGGCUGUGGCUGACGUGGAGGAUGACAUUGAAGAGGAGGAGUUCCUGGAGCAAGCUCCUAUUGCACCGGUCAGUCUGUAAUUGUCUUAUAUUGUUACCUCUUUCUGCUAAGCAUUGCCUUGCUGUUCCCUUGCUGCUGUAAUACUGUCAAUUUUCCCACUGUUGGAAUCAUAAGCAAUUAUCUUAUCUUAUCUUAUCUUGUUUUAUCUAUUUUUGGACAGUGGGAGGAAGCAGAGGUAGCAUCCCUUACCGCCACCUGCCACACGGAGACAUCCAGCCAGUCAGGUGUCGAUGUCCUGGUGCUGGAUGCAGAGUCUGAGCCAGUGCCAGUUGCACAGGCUGAGGGGGAUCGGGGCAGCGUGGAGGUCGUGGUGGAGAGCAUAGAAACAGCUCCCAAAAACAAGAGAGGAUGGCUACAGCGCUGUCAGAGACUCUGGAGGAGCACAGCCUCUACCUUUCUUUCCUGCUGUCCUUACAGGGUCAAUAGAUAUAACAAAAAAUGGAGAGGAUAGAUAGAUAAAUGGACAGAUUAAUAGAAAGGGGAGGACAGAUCAAUAGAAAGGUGGGGGGGGCAGAUCAAUAGAAAGGG